rnacentral:rRNA from 1 species
CAAAACCCCCCCUGUGCAAGGGUUACCCCCAAGGGCCCCCUGAAAAAGGGGGCUUUUCCAUGGUCUAACCCCCUUAAGGAAUAAAAGGGGGGCAAGAUGGGUGUCAGCCGCCCCUUUAACACCAGCCCCUCGAGUGGUGGGGAUGAUUAUUUGGCCUAAAGCGUCCGUAGCCGGCCGGGUAAGUCUCCCGUUAAAUCCAGCGUCUCAAGCGUUGGACUGCGGGAGAUACUGUCUGGCUAGAGAGUGGGAGAGGUGUACGGUAUUCUGGGGGUAGGGGCGAAAUCCAUUGAUCCCCGGAGGACCACCAGUGGCGAAGGCUGUACACUAGAACACGUCUGACGGUCAGGGACGAAAGCUGGGGUAGCGAACCGGAUUAGAUACCCGGGUAGUCCCAGCCGUAAACGAUGCAUGCUAGGUGUUGGGUUGGCCACGAGCCACCCCAGUGCCGCAGGGAAGCCGUUAAGCAUGCCGCCUGGGAAGUACGAUCGCAAGAUUGAAACUUAAAGGAAUUGGCGGGGGA